rnacentral:rRNA from 1 species
GAUGAACGCUGGCGGCGUGCCUAAUACAUGCAAGUCGAGCGAACAGACGAGGAGCUUGCUCCUCUGACGUUAGCGGCGGACGGGUGAGUAACACGUGGAUAACCUACCUAUAAGACUGGGAUAACUUCGGGAAACCGGAGCUAAUACCGGAUAAUAUAUUGAACCGCAUGGUUCAAUAGUGAAAGACGGUUUUGCUGUCACUUAUAGAUGGAUCCGCGCCGCAUUAGCUAGUUGGUAAGGUAACGGCUUACCAAGGCAACGAUGCGUAGCCGACCUGAGAGGGUGAUCGGCCACACUGGAACUGAGACACGGUCCAGACUCCUACGGGAGGCAGCAGUAGGGCAUCUUCCGCAAUGGGCGAAAGCCUGACGGAGCAACGCCGCGUGAGUGAUGACGGUCUUCGGAUCGUAAAACUCUGUUAUUAGGGAAGAACAAAUGUGUAAGUAACUAUGCACGUCUUGACGGUACCUAAUCAGAAAGCCACGGCUAACUACGUG